AAGGCUUUAGUUUAAUAAAAGCAUUUGAGUUGCAUUCAGGAGAUGUGGGUUAGCUCCCACAAGUCUU
rnacentral:tRNA from 1 species